rnacentral:tRNA from 2 species
GCCGGCAUGGCGAAACUGGUAGACGCAACGGACUUAAAAUCCGUUUCUCUCGAGUGUGGGUUCGAGUCCCGCUGCCGGCACCA